rnacentral:misc_RNA from 1 species
GGUUCAGUUGGAGUUUGUGUCUGAACCGGAGUGGGCUGAGAGUCCUGUUUCGGCGCCUCACCGAAGAAGAAGCUGACCUUCUCGCGAACANNNNNGAGCGCUUGCGCGGAGCUUCGGUCUCUUCCGGGGUUGAGAUGUGAUGCGUCACUGGUUCCGGCUGCGGAGCCGGAGCGGGAUGUUCCUCGCGGACCGGCUCCGCCNNNNCGCUUCGGCGGAUUCGGACUCGGGCGGCGUUCCCAAAUCGUCGGCAAUCGUCGAAACGAUU